rnacentral:rRNA from 1 species
UAAUACGAAGGACCCGAGCGUUAUCCGGAUUUAUUGGGUUUAAAGGGUGCGUAGGCGUCCCUAUAAGUUACGGUUGAAAUCUCCUCGCUCAACGAGGAAACUGGCCGUAAAACUGUAGGGAUUGAGUACACUUGAAGCGGGCGGAAUGUGUCAUGUAGCGGUGAAAUGCUUAGAUAUGACACAGAACACCGAUUGCGAAGGCAGCUCGCUAAAUUGUAACUGACGCUGAGGCACGAAAGCGUGGGGAUCAAACAGGAUUAGAUACCCUGGUAGUCCACGCCCUAAACGAUGAUUACUCGAUGUGUGCGAUAUACUGUACGCGUCUGAGCGAAAGCAUUAAGUAAUCCACCUGGGGAGUACGACCGCAAGAUUG